rnacentral:rRNA from 1 species
UACGUAGGUGGCGAGCGUUGUCCGGAAUUACUGGGUGUAAAGGGAGCGCAGGCGGAUAGACAAGUUGGAUGUGAAAUACCCGGGCUCAACCCGGGGGCUGCAUCCAAAACUGUUUAUCUUGAGUGGAGUAGAGGCAGGCGGAAUUCCUAGUGUAGCGGUGAAAUGCGUAGAUAUUAGGAGGAACACCAGUGGCGAAGGCGGCCUGCUGGGCUUUAACUGACGCUGAGGCUCGAAAGCGUGGGGAGCAAACAGG